rnacentral:lncRNA from 1 species
CUCAGAAGAUCAAAAAAAGUCUGCCCCUACUUACUCCAGUGUUAAAUUUUCAGUGAUUUCUACUGGAGACUGCUGCUUAUUGGAGCCCUUUGGAAAGGAAUUACUUCUGACAUGAAUCUUUGGCAAAAGCAGGUGAUUUUUUUUUUUCCUGCCUCCAGAACCAAGGCUACUUGCAGGAGAAUGGGUUCCUGAUUUUUUUAUUCAGCCUCUAUGUGUCCCAGACAUGGCUCUUCUCCAGGUAUGCUUUUAUUGAAAAAAUA